CCCCCGCCCUCAGUUCAUCUUUCAAAAGAAUAAUAAUGAACAAAAUGAUUAAAAAUAAAAAAGUCAGGUCAAGGUGUAGCAAAUGAAAUGGAAAGAAAUGGGCUACAUUUUUUAUAAUAAAAAACGCGGAAUAUUAUAUGAAAUAAAAUAUAAAGGAGGAUUUAGAAGUAAAAAGAAAAAAGAGUGUUCUUUUUAAAUUGGCAAUAGAGCACGCACACCCCGCCCGUCCCCCUUUUCAAAAUAUAUAAAAUUUAAAUAAAUAUAUAAAUUUAUAAGAAAAGGUAAGUCGUCACAUGGUAAGUCUCCCGGAAGGUGGCCUUGGAUAUCAAAAUAUAGCUUAAAUAAAGCACUUUGCUUACCCCAAAAAAAUAUUUGCUAAGCCAAAUUAUU
rnacentral:rRNA from 1 species